UACGGGGGGGGGCAAGCGUUGUUCGGAAUUACUGGGCGUAAAGGGUUCGUAGGUGGCCAACUAAGUCAGACGCGAAAUCCCUCAGCUUAACUGGGGAACUGCGUCUGAUACUGGUUGACUUGAGUGCAGGAGAGGAACGCGGAAUUCCAGGUGUAGCGGUGGAAUGCGCAGAUAUCAGGAGGAACACCGGUGGCGAAGGCGGGUCUCUGGGCAGUAACUGACGCUGAGGAGCGAAAGCGUGGGGAGCGAACAGG
rnacentral:rRNA from 1 species